rnacentral:tRNA from 1 species
ACUUGGCUGGCUCAGUCAGUGGAGCACACGACUCUUGAUCUUGGAGUUGUGAGUUCAAGCCCCAUGCUGGGUG